CAGCCGCCGCGGGAAAACCAGCACCUCGAGUGGUCAGGAGGUUUAUUGGGCCUAAAGCAUCCGUAGCCGGUUGCAUAAGUUUUCGGUUAAAUCUAUGCGCUUAACGUAUAGGCCGCCGAAAAUACUGUGCAGCUAGGGAGUGGGAGAGGUACACGGUACUCGAUAGGAAGGGGUAAAAUCCUCUGAUCUAUUGAUGACCACCUGUGGCGAAGGCGGUGUACCAGAACACGUUCGACGGUGAGGGAUGAAAGCUGGGGGAGCAAACCGGAUUAGAUACCCGGGUAGUCCCUGUCUCUUAACA
rnacentral:rRNA from 1 species